rnacentral:rRNA from 1 species
GAGUUUGAUCUUGGCUCAGAUUGAACGCUGGCGGCAUGCUUUACACAUGCAAGUCGAGCGGGGUGGAGGGGCAACCCUUCAUUCAGCGGCGGACGGGUGAGUAACACAUCGGAACGUAUCCUGCAGUGGGGGACAACCCAGCGAAAGCUGGGCUAAUACCGCAUAUGCUCGGGAGAGGAAAGCAGGGGACCGCAAGGCCUUGUGCUGGAGGAGCGGCCGAUGUCCGAUUAGCUAGUUGGUGGGGUAAAGGCCUACCAAGGCGACGAUCGGUAGCUGGUCUGAGAGGAUGAUCAGCCACACUGGGACUGAGACACGGCCCAGACUCCUACGGGAGGCAGCAGUGGGGAAUUUUGGACAAUGGGGGCAACCCUGAUCCAGCCAUGCCGCGUGC